UACGGAAGGCAGCAGUGGGGAAUAUUGCACAAUGGGCGAAAGCCUGAUGCAGCUAUGCCGCGUGUAUGAAGAAGGCCUUAGGGUUGUAAAGUACUUUCAUCGGGGAGGAAAAAACAAAACUAAUAAUUUUAUUUCUUGACGUUACCCGAAAAAGAAGCACCGGCUAACUCCGUGCCAGCAGCCGCGGUAAUACGGAGGGUGCUAGCGUUAAUCAGAAUUACUGGGCGUAAAGAGCACGUAGGUGGUUUUUUUAAGUCAGAUGUGAAAUCCCUGGGCUUAACCUAGGAACUGCAUUUUGAAACUGAAAUACUAGAGUAUCGUAGAGGGAGGUAGAAGUUCUAGGUGUAGCGGUGAAAUGCGUAGAUAUCUGGAGGAAUACCUGUGGCGAAAGCGGCCUCCUAAACCGAAUACUGACACUGAGGUGCGAAAGCAUGGGGAGCGAAACAGGGAUUAGAUACC
rnacentral:rRNA from 1 species